rnacentral:rRNA from 1 species
AUUGAACGCUGGCGGCAUGCCUUACACAUGCAAGUCGAACGGCAGCACGGGUGCUUGCACCUGGUGGCGAGUGGCGAACGGGUGAGUAAUAUAUCGGAACGUACCUUAUUGUGGGGGAUAACGCAGCGAAAGCUGUGCUAAUACCGCAUAAUCCCUAAGGGGGAAAGCGGGGGACCGUAAGGCCUCGCGCAAUUAGAGCGGCCGAUACCUGAUUAGCUAGUUGGUGAGGUAAAGGCGCACCAAGGCAACGAGCAGUAGCUGGUCUGAGAGGACGAUCAGCCACACUGGGACUGAGACACGGCCCAGACUCCUACGGGAGGCAGCAGUGGGGAAUUUUGGACAAUGGGGGCAACCCUGAUCCAGCAAUGCCGCGUGAGUGAAGAAGGCCUUCGGGUUGUAAAGCUCUUUUGUCAGGGAAGAAACAGCAGCUCUAACACAGUUUGCGAAUGACGGUACCUGAAGAAUAAGCACCGGCUAACUACGUGCCAGCCGCCGCGGUAA